UGCUGUGGAGGGGAAGGGUCCUGUGGCUGGAGGGCUUUGUCCAGAGGGCAGCUGGGGCAGGGGCUCGCCAAGGCAAGGCGGUGGGUCCUUCACCCGGAGCACAAACUCCUCCUGGAGUGGCUGGCUGCUGUAAUGUUGGGUCUCAAUCAAAACCUGCUAAUGAGCUGUGAACAUUGAUCCCAUUUCUGCCUCUGAGAAAGAUCCAGGUGCCAAGUUACAUGUUUAUGGGAAACAGAAAGAUAAUGAUCUGAAGAAGCUUUAGUCUGAGGUUUCAAAACUGAAUACUGAUUAACUGGCUAUAUACUCUCUAGGCAAAUAUGAAAUACCUGGGGCUGUGCCUAAGGCCAACAAUCAUUUCCAAGGCUAUGAGAUUACAUGUCGAACUACCGAAAAAAUCUCUAUGGGGUUAGGUGAUAUUCAGCUCGAGCAGAGGCUGGAUUUGGGAGAUGGCAAAGCCAGGGUCUAAAGAGAAGGCAAGGUUUUUGGUGGCCACCACCCAUCAUGGAAACCUGCCUGAUGUGCAGCAAGGAGCAUGUUGGAUGCUCAUGCAGGCAUUGUUUCUUCCCUUUCCAGUUGUCCUGUAGGAUUGCUGCAAAACCAAUUCUUGCAGGCUUUGGACAAUAUAUAGGGAUUUAUUAUUGCUAUUAAUUCAUAUUAUUCCCUUAAAUGUUUUUCCGAGUUGCUGUAGGAGUGCUAAAUGCACUUUUGCAAAAGAAAAACAGGAGAUUCCUUCCCUGAAGAGCUUUCAGUACAGAAGGCAGACUGUGACUAACAGUGCAGAGAAAAAAAUCCUUCACAGAAAAGAGAGGGCUGUGUUAGGGAAUUUCCAGUUGAAAAGCGUGCAGGAAGGCAGGCUGGUUUGCAGUAGCCCUGAAUGACAGGAGUGGUACAGUGUCCUGGUUGUGCUCCUUCUCCUCUGCAUCAGAACAGGAAGGUGACAACCUGGCGUAUCCAGCAAGCCCUGCAGUUUAAGGCAUGAGCCUCAGCAACUGCUGUGCAUAUGAAAUGGUGAUGGCAAUGAACAGAGCAUUGCUCCUAGCAUUGCCUUCCUCCCAUCUGUGGGAGAUGAUCAUUGGAAGGAAGCUCUUGG